AGUGAACGCUGGCGGCGUGCCUAACACAUGCAAGUCGAGCGCGAAAGGGUAGCAAUACCUGAGUAAAGCGGCGAACGGGUGAGUAACACGUGGUUAACCUACCGAGAUGUGGGGGAUACCCCGGAGAAAUUCGGGACAAUACCGCAUACAGUCUUCUGGACGUCGGUUCGGAAGAGCAAAGCCGGGGAUCGUAAGACCUGGCGCAUUUCGAGGGGACCGCGGCCGAUUAGCUAGUUGGCGGGGUAANGGCCCACCAAGGCUUCGAUCGGUAGCCGGCCUGAGAGGGUGAACGGCCACACCGGAACUGAGACACGGUCCGGACUCCUACGGGAGGCAGCAGUGGGGAAUUUUGCGCAAUGGGCGAAAGCCUGACGCAGCAACGCCGCGUGGAGGAUGAAGGUUCUCUGAAUCGUAAACUCCUGUCGGCCGGGAAGAACUGGCAGAGUGCUAAUCAGCUCUGUCUUGACUGUACCGGCAAAGGAAGCCCCGGCUAACUCCGUGCCAGCAGCCGCUGUAA
rnacentral:rRNA from 1 species